UGUGGUGUUGAUUUUUGUUUU
rnacentral:misc_RNA from 1 species